GAUAUUGUUUCUUUUCUGUUAUUUGAUGAGCUGGAGUAGUUAGUGUGGUUGUGAGACUCCAAGCUAUAUACAGGUCACCAUUUUUGUAUCCCGGACUGCACAGAAAUCUGAAUAUCAAUGAGAUAGAUAUUUUCCUCUGUUUUUCUUUCUCAACACUCUGUUUUGAUCCAGAAUUUGUAAUAUGGUAUCAGAGCACUUUAUGCUUCUGCUUAUCUAUGCAUUUAUCUCCAUUUUUGUUUGAUGGCUUGAGGCAACCAAUCCAAUACACGAGCUGUGAUUGGAUCCUCUGAAUCGUCACCGAUGGAAGACACUGGGAGUCCAUUCUAUCUUCACAAUGGGGAUCAUCCUGGUCUUGUACUCGUUUCACACCAUUUGACUGGGAGUAAUUACAAUACCUGGAGUAGAGCCAUGAUUAUGGCAUUGACUGCGAAAAACAAAAUGGGAUUUGUGGACGGAACUAUACCAUGAGCAGCGCCCAACGAUCUCCUCUUCAAUGCUUGGAAUCGCUGCAACAGCAUGGUGAUUUCGUGGCUCUUAAACUCAGUUUCUCGGGAGAUUGCUGAUAGCUUAAUGUAUAUUGCAACAAGCUCAGAGAUCUGGAUGGAUCUACGGGAUCAAUUUCGUCAACGUAAUGCUCAUUGGAUUUUUCAGCUUCGUAAGCAACUCAUUGCACUGCAGCAAGGAGGUCUUGACAUUAAUACGUACUACACUUGAUUCAAGGUUCUUUGGGAAGAACUCAAAAACUUUCAACCAUUACCAGCUUGUCAUUGUGGAGGAAUGCAAGCUUGGGUGGAGUAUCAGCAGCAGGAACAUGUGAUUCAAUUUCUAAUGGGGUUGAACGACUCUUAUUCUCAGACUCGGAGCCAAAUCCUGAUGAUGGAGCCCAUUCCGCCGUUAGCGAAGGUUUUCGCACUUGUUCUUCAAGAGGAGAGACAACGAUCUAUCAAUCAAGGUUUCUCUUCUUUAUUGCAACCCUUAGCUUUGGGAGAUUCAAGUCAAGCUUCUGCAAAUACUCAUAUUGGCAGCUCUGCUUCUAAACCCAAGUUUGAACGGCCUCAAUGUACCCAUUGUGGGCUUCAAGGGCACGCUAUGGAUCGCUGUUACAAGCUUCAUGGGUACCCACUUGGGUAUAAGCCCAAGUCAAAGAGUCAAUUGGGCCAGGUCCAAGCCAAUCAAACCUCCUCACUUGUUUCUAAUGAGCCAGCUGCUGCAGAUUUGACAGUGGGUGCACUCUCUUCUAGUCAAUGCCAGCAACUCAUUGCCUUGCUUAGUUCCUAGUUGCAGCGUAGCUCACUUUCAACUGUGGAAUCACUACAACAGGGUGGCCCUUCCGUCUCCAGCUUCAGUGUGGCCAGGUCAAAGAAUGGAAUCUCUAUUAGCCAAAGACACUAUGCCCUUCAGCUACUCUCAGAAGCAGGAUUUCUGGGCUGUAAACCUGCAAAUACCCCUAUGGAAGCUAACAUUAAGCUUACUCAAGAUGAUGGAGAGCCACUCAAAGAUCCCGAAUUGUACAGACGCUUAAUUUGGAAGCUUUUAUAUUUGACAAUUACACGGCCAGACUUGUCAUAUGUAGUGAAUCGGCUUAGUCAGUAUCUUGCAAAUCCAAGGACAGCUCACCUACAAGUAGUACAUUGUGUUUUACAGUAUAUCAAAGGAACUAUGGGGUAGGGUCUCUAUUUCUCUUCAUCUUCAACAGUUUAGCUAAAAGCUUUUGUGGAUUCAGAUUGGGCUGCUUGCAAAGAAACGAGGAGAUCAAUUAGUGGUUUUUGUGUAUUUCUUGGAGAGUUGCUGAUUUUGUGGAAAUCAAAGAAGCAAAGCACUGUAUCUCAUUCAUCUGCAGAAGCAGAGUAUCGUGCAAUGGCUAACGUUACUUGUGAACUGGUUUGGUUGAUCUCUCUUCUUCGAGAUUUUCAAAAUUGAACACAAGCAGCCAGCAAUGUUAUUCUGUGAUAAUGAAACAGCACUUCAUAUUACAGCCAAUCUCAUGUUCCAUGAGCGGACAAAACAUAUUGGGAUCGACUGUCAACUUAUGAGAGAGAAGAUUCAAGCAGGCUGUCUUAAAACAAUGCAUGUUUCAUCCCAACACCAGGUUGCAGACCUCCUCACCAAAGCUUUGUUCCCAGCUCAGUUCAAGUUUUUGCUCAGCAAGAUGGGAAUUCACAAUUUUCAUUCUCCAUCUUGAGGAGGAGUAAUAGAAUCUUAUGGCAUUUAUGUAAUUAGCUAUUCCCAAUUCAGUUGAUAUUGUUUCUUUUCUGUUAUUUGAUGAGCUGGAGUAGUUAGUGUGGUUGUGAGACUCCAAGCUAUAUACAGGUCACCAUUUUUGUAUCCCGGACUGUACAUAAAUCUGAAUAUCAAUGGGAUAGAUAUUUUCCUCUGUUUUUCUUUCUCAA